rnacentral:rRNA from 1 species
AGAGAGAGACAUGCGCGCAUAUCAAUAAGCGGAGGAAAAGAAACUAACUAGGAUUCCCUCAGUAACGGCGAGUGAAGCGGGAAGAGCUCAAAUUUGAAAUCUUCAGGGUUUUACCUUGACGAAUUGUAGUUUAAAGAAGUGUUUUCUGUUGGAGUUUUGGUAAAAGUUCUUUGGAAAUAGGACAUCAUAGAGGGUGAGAAUCCCGUAUUUGACCAUUAUUUCCAGCUUUGUGAUACACUUUCAAAGAGUCGGAUUGUUUGGGAAUGCAGUCCAAAAUGGGUGGUAAAUUUCAUCUAAAGCUAAAUACUGGCGAGAGACCGAUAGCGAACAAGUACCGUGAGGGAAAGAUGAAAAGAACUUUGAAAAGAGAGUUAAACAGUACGUGAAAUUGUCAAAGGGGAAGCGUUUGACACCAGUGUUGGUUUCUCGAAAAUCAAUUAAAAAUGGCCGGAUUUUGUGUUGUAUUGACUCUAUCAGCUUUCUGCACUUUUUUCUUGUCUUUUUUAAUGCACUUUUCGUUUAACAAGUCAACAUCAGUUUCUUUUGUUGUAAAAGGGUCAUUGGAAGGUGGCUUUCUUUUCGGAGAAAGUGUUUAUAGCCUUUGAUCUCUGCAACCGGAGAGACUGAGGUCUGCAGCGUAGACUCUUCGGGGUUAGAUACAUUUGUGCUAAGCUAUAGCUUUUUAUAGACAACUUGUUGACUAUAUUUAGUCUUGUGGCUUACUCGCUUAUGCUAUUUUACCUACGCUUAGGAUGUUGACAGCAGUAUAGACUG